rnacentral:rRNA from 1 species
GACGAACGCUGGCGGCGUGCUUAACACAUGCAAGUCGAGCGGUAAGGCCCUUUCGGGGGUACGACGAGCGGCGAACGGGUGAGUAACACGUGGGUGACCUGCCCUCAGCUCUGGGAGUAAGCCUGGGAAACCGGGUCUAAUACCGGAUAUGACUCCAUGACGCAUGUUGUGGGGUGGAAAGCCUUGUGCGGCUGAGGAUGGGCCCGCGGCCUAUCAGCUUGUUGGUGGGGUGAUGGCCUACCAAGGCGACGACGGGUAGCCGGCCUGAGAGGGCGACCGGCCACACUGGGACUGAGACACGGCCCAGACUCCUACGGGAGGCAGCAGUGGGGAAUCUUGCGCAAUGGGCGAAAGCCUGACGCAGCGACGCCGCGUGAGGGAUGGCGCCUGUGUAAC